CUACGAGCGCACGGUCACCGUGCCCAUGUACAGGAGUUCUGUGUGGUUUAUUUCGAGGCGUUGAUUCUGCCCUUUGUGUUAGAGCUGCGGCUUUCUCU
rnacentral:sRNA from 1 species